rnacentral:rRNA from 1 species
GACAGUUCGGUCCCUAUCUGCCGUGGGUGUAGGAAUAUUGAGAGGAUCUGUCCCUAGUACGAGAGGACCGGGAUGGACGUAUCUCUGGUGGACCUGUUGUGGCGCCAGCCGCAUAGCAGGGUAGCUAUAUACGGAACGGAUAACCGCUGAAGGCAUCUAAGCGGGAAACCGACCUCAAAACGAGUAUUCCCUGAGAGCCGUGGUAGACGACCACGUUGAUAGGCCGGGUGUGGAAGAGCGGCAACGCUUGAAGCUUACCGGUACUAAUAACUCGA